UACGGAGGAUGCGAGCGUUAUCCGGAUUUAUUGGGUUUAAAGGGUGCGUAGGCGGCUUUUUAAGUCAGCGGUGAAAUUUUGCAGCUUAACUGUAACAGUGCCGAUGAUACUGGGGAGCUAGGAUUUGGUUGCUGUGGGUGGAAUGUGUGGUGUAGCGGUGAAAUGCUUAGAGAUCACACAGAAUAUCGAUUGCGAAGGCAGCUCACAAAGCCAAGAUUGACGCUGAGGCACGAAAGUGUGGGGAUCAAACAGGAUUA
rnacentral:rRNA from 1 species